UACAGAGGGUGCGAGCGUUACUCGGAAUUACUGGGCGUAAAGCGCGUGUAGGCGGCUACGCGUGUCGGGCGUGAAAUCCCAUGGCUCAACCAUGGAAGUGCACCCGAAACUGCGUAGCUAGAGUCCUGGAGAGGAAGGUGGAAUGCUUGGUGUAGAGGUGAAAUUCGUAGAUAUCAAGCGGAACACCGGUGGCGAAGGCGGCCUUCUGGACAGUGACUGACGCUGAGACGCGAAAGCGUGGGGAGCAAACAGG
rnacentral:rRNA from 1 species